rnacentral:rRNA from 1 species
GACGAACGCUGGCGGCGUGCUUAACACAUGCAAGUCGAACGGAAAGGCCCUGCUUUUGUGGGGUGCUCGAGUGGCGAACGGGUGAGUAACACGUGAGUCACCUGCCCUUGACUUUGGGAUAACUUCAGGAAACUGGGGCUAAUACCGGCUAGGAGCUCCUGCUGCAUGGUGGGGGUUGGAAAGCUUCGGCGGUUGGGGAUGGACUCGCGGCUUAUCAGCUUGUUGGUGGGGUAGUGGCUUACCAAGGCUUUGACGGGUAGCCGGCCUGAGAGGGUGACCGGCCACAUUGGGACUGAGAUACGGCCCAGACUCCUACGGGAGGCAGCAGUGGGGAAUAUUGCACAAUGGGCGGAAGCCUGAUGCAGCAACGCCGCGUGCGGGAUGACGGCCUUCGGGUGGUAAACCGCUUUCGCCUGUGACGAAGCGUGAGUGACGGUAAUGGGUAAAGAAGCACCGGCUAACUACGUG